GCUGGGCGCGGUGGCUCACGCCUGUAAUCCCAGCACUUUGGGAGGCCGAGGCGGGCGGAUCACCUGAGGUCGGGAGUUCUACACCAGCCUGACCAACAUGGUGAAACCCCGUCUCCA
rnacentral:SRP_RNA from 1 species